AUAUAGCGCAAUGAAUAGCGUGUUGGACUUUUAAUCCAAAGGUCGUGGGUUCGAAUCCCACCUGGAAUG
rnacentral:tRNA from 1 species